rnacentral:tRNA from 1 species
GUAUACGUAAUUUAAUCAAAUUAUUAGAUUGUGACUCUAAAUAUGAAAGUUCAACCCUUUCCGUAAACC